UUUAGGUUAAAAAAGUGAGGGAUAUUUUUUAAUUAGGAAUAAGGGCCAAAUUGGCCACUGAACGUAACGCGAAAGUGCAAUCAGGCCACUCAACCUAAAAAAAGUGCAAUUAGCCCAUCC